rnacentral:misc_RNA from 1 species
GAUGAAGAACGCAGCGAAAUGCGAUAAGUAAUGUGAAUUGCAGAAUUCAGUGAAUCAUCGAAUCUUUGAACGCAUCUUGCGCUCCUUGGUAUUCUGAGGAGCAUGCCUGUUUGAGUGUCAUUAAAUUCUCAACUACACUGACUUUGAAUUGGUGUGGCUUGGAUUUGGGGGGAAAAUUGUUGUGGGCUUUUUGUAUAGUCUGCUCCCCUGAAAUUGAUUAGCGGUACCUUUGUGGAACUGUCUACAGGUGUGAUAAUUAUCUACAUCUUAGACAUCUGCUGGAAUGCUGAUCUCUAAACCUUACUUGUAUUGACAAUCUUGACCUCAAAUCAGGUAGGACUACCCGCUGAACUUAAGCAUAUCAAUAAGCGGAGGA